rnacentral:rRNA from 1 species
UACGAAGGUGGCAAGCGUUGUUCGGAAUCACUGGGCAUAAAGGGUGCGUAGGCGGUCCGGAAAGUCGGUGGUGAAAGCCCACGGCUCAACCGUGGAAGUGCUGUCGAUACUACCGGACUUGAGUGCAGGAGGGGAGAGUGGAACUCUUGGUGGAGCGGUGAAAUGCGUUGAUAUCAAGAGGAACGCCGGCGGCGAAAGCGGCUCUCUGGUCUGCAUCUGACGCUGAGUCACGAAAGCCAGGGGAGCGAACGGGAUUAGAUACCCUCGUA